rnacentral:lncRNA from 1 species
CCCGCCACAUUCUGUAUGUGCCUGUCCCAAGUUGAAGCAAAUGUUGUAAUUGGUUGCUGUCAUAUUGGUUAAUUCUUAACUUUUGAUUAUAAAUCGGACAAGGUUCUCAUUUCAAGUGUUUUACAUUUUGUCAUGUCAGGAGCUUUUUAUAUCUUCCUAUACACUAAGGCUUUUGAUCAAAACUCAUCACUCAAGCUGUUGCUACUCUUGUUUUUUUUAAAAUUAGCAUUGAAACUACUUCAACAAAGUUGACAUGGUAAGGGACUACAUCAAAAGUUCAAUGUAGGAUAAAAAACUUAAUUCACAUAGUUUUUUUAAUGACCCCCCUACAACUUAAUUUGGGAAAAAUUGAUUGACCCAUAUGGAUAUAUGUAAAAUCGAUGUAGGAUAAUCAAAACUUGCAGCAAGUUUAACCCCCCACCCCCAAACUAUUUGAAUUAAGUUUUUUAUCCUUCAUUGAUCUUUUGAUGUCGUCCCUAA